rnacentral:rRNA from 1 species
AUACGGAGGGGGCUAGCGUUGUUCGGAAUUACUGGGCGUAAAGCGCGCGUAGGCGGUUCGUAUAGUCAGGCGUGAAAGCCCCGGGCUCAACCUGGGAACUGCGUUUGAUACUGACGAGCUAGAGUCCGGGAGAGGGUAGCGGAAUUCCCAGUGUAGAGGUGAAAUUCGUAGAUAUUGGGAAGAACACCAGUGGCGAAGGCGGCUACCUGGACCGGUACUGACGCUGAGGUGCGAAAGCGUGGGGAGCAAACAGGAUUAGAAACCCCUGUAGUCC